CCCGUCAGUCUGCUCAUAGCCCCGGGGAUGAUGUGUCCGUCUCCGAUGGCUGCUGUGACUGGGGGACUAUGAGUGUGUUUUUGGUCCAACGUAAUAACACCAAAAUGGAUGAGAAGCAGGGACCAACUUCUGAUGAUGUCCCAACUGGGGAGGUAACGUCAACCACAGUUACAGAGGGUGAUGUUGUCAAGAUGCCAACAGAUGUGGCCAUCACUAUGGAUGCUAUUCCCAAUGAAGAUGAGGAGGACAAAUCCAAAGGUCUUGACCCACAAGAUAACCAUUGCCCCAGCACCUCUGACGUACCAGUGACUGGUGCUGCCAUGACGGAUCCUUAUCACUAUCUGACACAACAGCACUUCACCUCAGAGAUCUUCAAGAUUGAGAUCCAAAACCUCCCAAGAUAUUUUGGAUUUGCGGUUAAACAACAUGCUGACUCCACUGUGGAACCAGCCGUAUGAGGACCAGCUAUCCACCAAAUAGACCAACACCAGGGAGUUUCUGAGGAAUUUCCAAGAUGCUGCAACGGAACAUUGGGGAGAUGUCUCCCUGGCUGAAGCAACAAAUCCAGUAUUAGAGAGUUAUCGCAACAAGUGUGAGUUUACCAUCGGCAAGAGUGUAGAUGGCAUUGGUCUUGACCCACAAGAUAACCAUUCCACCAGC
rnacentral:misc_RNA from 1 species